GACGACCUCAUAGCAGGCGAGACUACCCGCUGAAUUUAAGCAUAUUACUAAGCGGAGGAAAAAAAACUAACAAGGAUUUCCUUAGUAGCGGCGAGCGAACAGGAAUUAGCCCAGCACUGAAUCCCGCGGUUCUGCCGUUGGGAAAUGUAGUGUUCGGGAGGGUUCGUUUUAUCCCGCGGCGUCGGAACAAGUCCUUCUUGAAUGGGGCCAUUUACCCGUAGAGGGUGCCAGGCCCGUAGAGACCGGAACGCGCCGUGGGUGAGCCUCUCCUUAGAGUCGGGUUGCUUGAGAGUGCAGCUCUUAGUUGGUGGUAAACUCCAUCUAAGGCUAAAUAUG
rnacentral:rRNA from 1 species